rnacentral:rRNA from 1 species
AGUGAACGCUGGCGGUAGGCCUAACACAUGAAAGUCGAACGAGUGGCGGACGGGUGCGGCAUACAUCGGAAUCUACUCUGUCGUGGGGGCUAACGUAGGGACACUUACGCUAAUACCGCAUACGCUCGAUUGAGCCGAUGUCGGAUGAGCUAGUUGGCGGGGUAAAGGCCCACCAAGGCGACGUUCCGUAGCUGGUCUGAGAGGAUGAUCAGCCACACUGGAACUGAGACACGGUCCAGACUCCUACGGGAGUCAGCAGUGGGGAAUAUUGGACAAUGGGAGCAAGCCUGAGCAAGCCAUACCGCGUGGGUGAUGAAGGCCUUCGGGUUGUAAAGCCCUUUUUUUUGGAAUGCGGUACCCAAAGAAUAAGCACCGGCUAACUUCGUGACAGCAGCCGCGGUAAUAC